GGGCGCGUGCUAUACUGCAAGUCGAGCGAACUGAUUAGAAGCUUGCUUCUAUGACGUUAGCGGCGGACGGGUGAGUAACACGUGGGCAACCUGCCUGUAAGACUGGGAUAACUUCGGGAAACCGAAGCUAAUACCGGAUAGGAUCUUCUCCUUCAUGGGAGAUGAUUGAAAGAUGGUUUCGGCUAUCACUUACAGAUGGGCCCGCGGUGCAUUAGCUAGUUGGUGAGGUAACGGCUCACCAAGGCAACGAUGCAUAGCCGACCUGAGAGGGUGAUCGGCCACACUGGGACUGAGACACGGCCCAGACUCCUACGGGAGGCAGCAGUAGGGAAUCUUCCGCAAUGGACGAAAGUCUGACGGAGCAACGCCGCGUGAGUGAUGAAGGCUUUCGGGUCGUAAAACUCUGUUGUUAGGGAAGAACAAGUACGAGAGUAACUGCUUGUACCUUGACGGUACCUAACCAGAAAGCCACGGCUAACUACGUGCCAGCAGCCGCGGUAAUACGUAGGUGGCAAGCGUUAUCCGGAAUUAUUGGGCGUAAAGCGCGCGCAGGCGGUUUCUUAAGUCUGAUGUGAAAGCCCACGGCUCAACCGUGGAGGGUCAUUGGAAACUGGGGAACUUGAGUGCAGAAGAGAAAAGCGGAAUUCCACGUGUAGCGGUGAAAUGCGUAGAGAUGUGGAGGAACACCAGUGGCGAAGGCGGCUUUUUGGUCUGUAACUGACGCUGAGGCGCGAAAGCGUGGGGAGCAAACAGGAUUAGAUACCCUGGUAGUCCACGCCGUAAACGAUGAGUGCUAAGUGUUAGAGGGUUUCCGCCCUUUAGUGCUGCAGCUAACGCAUUAAGCACUCCGCCUGGGGAGUACGGUCGCAAGACUGAAACUCAAAGGAAUUGACGGGGGCCCGCACAAGCGGUGGAGCAUGUGGUUAAUUCGAAGAACGCGAAGACCUUACCAGGUCUUGACUCCUCUGACACUCUAGAGAUAGAGCGUCCCCUUCGGGGACGAAUGACGGGUGGGGAUGGUUGCCUCA
rnacentral:rRNA from 1 species